rnacentral:rRNA from 2 species
UGUGCCUAAUACAUGCAAGUCGAACGCGUUGGCCCAACUGAUUGAACGUGCUUGCACGGACUUGACGUUGGUUUACCAGCGAGUGGCGGACGGGUGAGUAACACGUAGGUAACCUGCCCCAAAGCGGGGGAUAACAUUUGGAAACAGAUGCUAAUACCGCAUAACAAUUUGAAUCGCAUGAUUCAAAUUUAAAAGAUGGUUUCGGCUAUCACUUUGGGAUGGACCUGCGGCGCAUUAGCUUGUUGGUAGGGUAACGGCCUACCAAGGCUGUGAUGCGUAGCCGAGUUGAGAGACUGAUCGGCCACAAUGGAACUGAGACACGGUCCAUACUCCUACGGGAGGCAGCAGUAGGGAAUCUUCCACAAUGGGCGCAAGCCUGAUGGAGCAACACCGCGUGAGUGAAGAAGGGUUUCGGCUCGUAAAGCUCUGUUGUUAGAGAAGAACGUGCGUGAGAGCAACUGUUCACGCAGUGACGGUAUCUAACCAGAAAGUCACGGCUAACUACGUGCCAGCAGCCGCGGUAAUACGUAGGUGGCAAGCGUUAUCCGGAUUUAUUGGGCGUAAAGCGAGCGCAGGCGGUUUGAUAAGUCUGAUGUGAAAGCCUUUGGCUUAACCAAAGAAGUGCAUCGGAAACUGUCAGACUGGAGUGCAGAGGAGGACAGUGGAACUCCAUGUG